CCUUGAUUUAGCGGCGGACGGGUGAGUAAUGCCUAGGAAUCUGCCUGGUAGUGGGGGAUAACGUUCCGAAAGGAACGCUAAUACCGCAUACGUCCUACGGGAGAAAGCAGGGGACCUUCGGGCCUUGCGCUAUCAGAUGAGCCUAGGUCGGAUUAGCUAGUUGGUGAGGUAAUGGCUCACCAAGGCGACGAUCCGUAACUGGUCUGAGAGGAUGAUCAGUCACACUGGAACUGAGACACGGUCCAGACUCCUACGGGAGGCAGCAGUGGGGAAUAUUGGACAAUGGGCGAAAGCCUGAUCCAGCCAUGCCGCGUGUGUGAAGAAGGUCUUCGGAUUGUAAAGCACUUUAAGUUGGGAGGAAGGGCAUUAACCUAAUACGUUAGUGUUUUGACGUUACCGACAGAAUAAGCACCGGCUAACUUCGUGCCAGCAGCCGCGGUAAUACGAAGGGUGCAAGCGUUAAUCGGAAUUACUGGGCGUAAAGCGCGCGUAGGUGGUUCGUUAAGUUGGAUGUGAAAGCCCCGGGCUCAACCUGGGAACUGCAUCCAAAACUGGCGAGCUAGAGUACGGUAGAGGGUGGUGGAAUUUCCUGUGUAGCGGU
rnacentral:rRNA from 1 species